CUCUUUUACCAAGGACCCGCCAACAUGGGCCGCGUUCGCACCAAAACCGUGAAGAAGGCGGCCCGGGUCAUCAUAGAAAAGUACUACACGCGCCUGGGCAACGACUUCCACACGAACAAGCGCGUGUGCGAGGAGAUCGCCAUUAUCCCCAGCAAAAAGCUCCGCAACAAGAUAGCAGGUUAUGUCACGCAUCUGAUGAAGCGAAUUCAGAGAGGCCCAGUAAGAGGUAUCUCCAUCAAGCUGCAGGAGGAGGAGAGAGAAAGGAGAGACAAUUAUGUUCCUGAGGUAAACUUUCUGGAUAUUUGGGCUUCUGGCUAAUCCUCAAAUGAUAAAGCUAUGGGUUCUUGGCUUCCAAAGGGACCUCAGCUGAAUCUGAGACCUUUAAUCCAUACAUUCCAUAACCAGCUGUGGGUGCCCAUAGGCCCCCUACCAGUUUCUUAGCCUCCAUUCUGCUCUUCUGGAACCAGUUAAGUCUAUUCCAUAUUUCAUGAGAGCCCUUAAUGUUGAUUUGAUGACUGCUGUCGUGGCUCGAUUGUUUGCCCCUAAUAUAGUAUUCUUUGGUGUAAACACAGACUUCAAGUGUUCUGAAUACUGAAUGAGGGCAUGGGAAGGUAAGGCCAGAAGAACAGGUCAUCGGGGUCUGUAAUACUGUAAGAGACUGCUCACCUUGUGAGAGGAAUGCUAUCCUUGUGCAGCUCCUCUUCCCCAUAUUUAAGAACCUGGGGAGAGGAGGAGGAGAGGUGAGUGAUAAUCUCAUUGAUUGGUAUUUUGACCCUACCUCGUUUCCUUGUAGGUCUCAGCCUUGGAUCAGGAGAUUAUUGAAGUAGAUCCUGACACUAAGGAAAUGCUGAAGCUUUUGGACUUCGGCAGUCUGUCCAACCUUCAGGUCACUCAGCCUACAGUUGGGAUGAAUUUCAAAACGCCUCGGGGAC
rnacentral:lncRNA from 1 species